rnacentral:rRNA from 1 species
UACGUAGGGGGCGAGCGUUGUCCGGAUUUAUUGGGCGUAAAGAGCGUGUAGGCGGUUCGGUAAGUCUGUCGUGAAAUCCUGAGGCUCAACCUCGGGCGUGCGAUGGAUACUGCCGGGCUAGAGGGUGGUAGAGGCGAGUGGAAUUCCUGGUGUAGCGGUGAAAUGCGCAGAUAUCAGGAGGAACACCGGUGGCGAAGGCGGAUCUCUGGGCCGUAACUGACGCUGAGGAGCGAAAGCAUGGGUAGCGAACAGG